CUUGGUCAUUUAGAGGAAGUAAAAGUCGAACAAGGUCUCCGUUGGUGAACCAGCGGAGGGAUCAUUACCGAGUUUACAACUCCCAAACCCAUGUGAACAUUACCUCUAUGUUGCUUCGGCGGAGCCGCCCCGGCGCCCGGAACCCCCUGCGGUCCCGCGGCCCGGAACCAAGGCGCCCGCCGGAGGCCACAAACUCUUCUGUUUUUACAGUUUCUUCUGAGUGUGCCGCAAGGCAGUAUACAAAUGAAUCAAAACUUUCAACAACGGAUCUCUUGGUUCUGGCAUCGAUGAAGAACGCAGCGAAAUGCGAUAAGUAAUGUGAAUUGCAGAAUUCAGUGAAUCAUCGAAUCUUUGAACGCACAUUGCGCCCGCCAGAAUUCUGGCGGGCAUGCCUGUUCGAGCGUCAUUUCAACCCUCGAGCUCCCCUUUCGGGGGGAGCCCGGCGUUGGGGACCCGGCGCUAACAACGCCGGCCCCGAAAUGGAGUGGCGGCCCGUCCGCGGCGACCUCUGCGUAGUAACAACCACUCGCACCGGGACCCGGGCGCGGCCACGCCGUAAAACACCCCACCUUCCGAAUGUUGACCUCGAAUCAGGUAGGAAUACCCGCUGAACUUAAGCAUAUCAAUAAGCGGAGGA
rnacentral:rRNA from 1 species